ACCUGGGUGGCUCAGUUGGUUGAGCAUCUGACUUAGGCUCAGGUUUGUGGGUUCAAACCCUGCAUCAGGCU
rnacentral:tRNA from 1 species